CUAAAACAAAGAACAAAAAAGUAAAAGGACAAGAGAGCAAAUAAGACUUUAAACUGGUGAUCGCACACAAUUCAAAAUCCAUAGCUAUGAAUGCCAACACAUACUCACGAGCUGAAGCUGCUCCUGGUGCGGGUGGGGGGCUGGGAGCAAGUCAAACUCGUGUCCGUGGACAAAGUGGUCGUGUUCUAUCGCUACGCCACCCUUCUUACACAUGGGCAGCCCUAUCAGCAGGCCCAGCAUCAUACACCCACAUGUCUAUGUGAACGUGGUACCUUCAGGCGUUUGAAAUAUGCUCCCAAGGAUGAACCAGACUUGUGGAGGUCUACAAUGGUUUUCUGAGGUCUUGGCUGAUUUCUUUUGAUUUUCCCAUGAUGUCAAGCAAAAAGGCACUGAGUUUGAAGAAGGUGGAGAGUGCUGCGGGUGAGGAAGCCCAGCUGCUGUAAGGGACCCCAGGGCCUGCAGGCCCGCUCCUCCUCCACCCAAGCCUACGGACAGGAGCAGCUCUUCCACCUCACUGACAACAUCCACUCUGAGUUGUGAGUCACACUCCUGCUCUGAGCUCCCAGUUAAGCCACUAUCUGGCCAGUCACAGUGGCCACAGUGUGUGCAGGAUUUUGUUUCCAACCCAGCUCUAACACACUCGAUUCCACUCAUCAUAGUAUUUCAUUUAGACCACGAUGAGUUGAUGAGUCAGGUGGGUUAGUGAUGGGCUGGAACAAAAGCCUGCUGAAGGUGUUUUGAAAAAGACAGCUGAAGGUUUGGAGAAACAGCGAUCUCUGAUUAAUAUUGCGUCACAUGGAAUAAAGUUGAGUUAUAUUUCGA